AAUUCACACUUUUUUAAUGCAAAGAAAUGCCAAAGCCAUGGCCCAUGGAAAAAAUACUUGAUAAAGUAGAUUUUACUGAAAUUAUGAUAAAGUAGAACUUACUGAAAUUAAAAAUUUCUGUUUUGCAAAAGACAAUGUCAAGAGAAUGAGAAGACAAGCCUCAGAAUGAGAAGAAACAUUUGUAAAAGAUACAUCUAAUAAAGCAGUUUUAUCCAAAAUAUAUAAUACAAAGAUCUCUUGAGACUCAACAUUAAGGAAGCAAACAACCAGAAUAAAAAAUGAGCUCCAGAUACUAACAGCCAUCUCAUCAAAGGCAAUACACAGAUAACAAAUUACCAUAUGAAAAUGCGGUCUCUAUCAUAUGUCAUCAUGGAAAUUCAAAUUAAAGCCACAGUGAGAUACCACUACACACCUAUAAGAAUAGCCAAAAUCCAGAAUACAGACAACACCAUACGCUAAUGAGGAUUAGGAGCAACAGGAACUCGUAUUCAUGCUGGUGGGAAUGCAGCAAGGAACAUUUCCCUCUCUGGAUACAUGUGUUUCAGAUCACAAAGCCAUAGAUGAGAGGAGUCUGUCUUUCUAAAUCACUUUUUGAAGAACACCUACUCAAGAGAGUCACCUGACCCCGUUGGAAUAUAAGAUGUGUGGGAAAUCUACCUUAUUGCAUUAAACUACUCAGAUUUUUGUGUGGUUGGUUAAA